CUGUCUCAAGAUUAAGCCAUGCACGUGUUAGUACAGGCUUUCAUACAGUGAAACUGCGAAUGGCUCAUUAAAUCAUAUGUGAUUUCUUAGAUCGUAUUCCGCUCCCUGCGGGGGACGGGUCGGAUAACUGUGGUAAUUCUAGAGCUAAUACAUGCAAUCAAGCUCUGACCUUCGGGGACGAGCGCUCUUAUUAGACCAAGGCCAACCUGUGGGGCAACCUGCAGUUUGCGGUGGUGACUCUGGAUAAACCUAGUUGAUCGCACGACCAUUGAGUCGGCGACGUAUCUUUCAAGCGUAUGCCCUAUCACUUAUCGUCGAUAAGGUAUUUGCCUAUCGAGAGUGUAACGGGUAGCGGGGAAUCAGGGUUCGAUUCCGGAGAGGGGGCAUGAGAUAUGGCCGCCACAUCCAAGGAAGGCAGCAGGCGCGCAAAUUACCCACUCCCGACACGGGGAGGUAGUGACGAAAAAUAACAAUACGGGACUCUUUCGAGGCCCCGUAAUUGGAAUGAGCACAAUUUAAAUCCUUUAGCGAGGAUCUAUUGGAGGGCAAGUCUGGUGCCAGCAGCCGCGGUAAUUCCAGCUCCAAUAGCGUAUAUUAAAGUUGCUGCAGUUAAAAAGCUCGUAGUUGGAUCUCGGGUCACGGCUUGGUGGUCCUGUUCACGCAGGUCACUGCCUGGUCGGCCUAAUCAGUGGUUGUCUCCUCCGGGAGCUUCGCCUCGAGUUCCCUUAACUGGGUGCCCGUGGGUGGCCACUGCGUUUACCUUGAAAAAAUUAGAGUGUUCAAGGCAGGUUUGGUAGCUCGAAUAUUUGUGCAUGGAAUAAUAGAAUAGGACUCCGGUGCUAUUGUGUUGGUCUUUGGUAAUGGAGUAAUGAUUGAGAGGGACUGCCGGGGGCAUUGGUAUGGCGGCGUUAGAGGUGAAAUUCUUGGAUCGUCGCCAGACUAACAACAGCGAAAGCAUUUGCCAAGAAUGUCU
rnacentral:rRNA from 1 species